rnacentral:rRNA from 1 species
UACGUAGGGGGCGAGCGUUGUCCGGAAUUAUUGGGCGUAAAGAGCGUGUAGGCGGUUCGGUAAGUCUGCCGUGAAAACCUGGGGCUCAACCCGGGCGUGCGGUGGAUACUGCCGGGCUAGAGGGUGGUAGAGGCGAGUGGAAUUCCGGUGUAGCGGUGAAAUGCGCAGAUAUCGGGAGGAACACCAGUAGCGAAGGCGGCUCGCUGGGCCAUUCCUGACGCUGAGACGCGAAAGCUAGGGGAGCGGAACGAGGAAU